UACGUAGGCAGCAAGCGUUAUCCGGAUUCACUGGGUUUAAAGGGUGCGUAGGCGGACAGGUAAGUCAGUGGUGAAAUCUCCGAGCUUAACUCGGAAACUGCCUUUGAUACUCUCUGUCUUGAAUAUGGUGGAGGUAAGCGGAAUAUGUCAUGUAGCGGUGAAAUGCUUAGAGAUGACAUAGAACACCUAUUGCGAAGGCAGCUUACUACGCCUAUAUUGACGCUGAGGCACGAAAGCGUGGGGAUCAAACAGG
rnacentral:rRNA from 1 species